rnacentral:lncRNA from 1 species
GUCACUGGUUCCCAGCUGCUCCUCCCAUUAUAUUUUCUCACCCCCCCCCCUUAUUGCAGAACUGCUAUAUGCAUACAGGGACAGAAAGGAUCCAAUUUACUGCAACUGCUGCCUGGCUUUUACUUACAACUUUGUUUGAAGGAACUUACCUUCCAUCUGUCUUUGCAAGGUGACAGAUCACUUACUCUGAACAUCUCAUCUUGUCCCAAGGAACAUGAAGCCUACUAGACCUAGAUGCUGACAUCAUAGACCAGUCCUGAUGGUAUACCAUACAGCAGCUAAGAACCCCACUUUUCCAGAGGAUGUUACUUUUGAUUCUACUCCUGAAGGAUUGUGUCUUCCCUGCAGGCGAUGCAAAAUAUUACCGAUCCUGAACCUGGAGGGAAAACUGCACAAUUCCUGCAGCAUAAUCUAAGACAUUCCCCCUGGAUCUGCCUGCACGUACAAAUACACUUCAGUAAGUAGCCCUCUGCCAGGGUCACUGAAACUCAGAUGCACAGCAGCAAGAAAUCCUCCCACUCUCAUUUCUGUUUGUGACCCAACCUUCCCC